rnacentral:lncRNA from 1 species
CCAAAUCCAUAAACAAUAGCCCAAGGAGUUUGGAUCACUCCAAAUGAGUACCACAUUUUGGCAAAAGUUUUUUUCCACUCAAAGUUAUUCUUCACAAUUGUCGACAAUGUAGUACCACAUGGCGUAGUUGUGUCAUUGACGGUGUACUUGCACUCCAUAGCCUUCUCAUUACAAAAGUAUGACAAAUAAUAGAGCUUGUUGAAGCAUGUUAAUAUCGCAACACUUGCAGGUCAAAGAAAGAGAAUCCAUCACCGAAUACUAAUCAUUGUCACCAGCAUUCGAUGACGGUGAAUGAAAGAGCUUGUUGUAAAUAAACUUAGCAUCCAAGUUCAUAUAUUGUCCCUACAAUUGUGCUAAAAAUUGUAAAAAAA